rnacentral:rRNA from 1 species
AGAGUUUGAUCCUGGCUCAGAACGAACGCUGGCGGCGUGCUUAACACAUGCAAGUCGAGCGGAAAGGCCACUUCGGUGGUACUCGAGCGGCGAACGGGUGAGUAACACGUGAGUAAUCUGCCCCUGGCUUUGGGAUAGCCACCGGAAACGGUGAUUAAUACCGGAUAUGACCACUUCAUGCAUGUGAUGGUGGUGGAAAGUUUUUCGGUGGGGGAUGUGCUCGCGGCCUAUCAGCUUGUUGGUGGGGUAAUGGCCUACCAAGGCUUCGACGGGUAGCCGGCCUGAGAGGGUGACCGGCCACACUGGGACUGAGACACGGCCCAGACUCCUACGGGAGGCAGCAGUGGGGAAUAUUGGACAAUGGGCGGAAGCCUGAUCCAGCAACGCCGCGUGAGGGAUGACGGCCUUCGGGUUGUAAACCUCUUUCAGUGGGGACGAAGCGCAAGUGACGGUACCCACAGAAGAAGCACCGGCCAACUACGUGCCAGCAGCCGCGGUAAUACGUAGGGUGCGAGCGUUGUCCGGAAUUAUUGGGCGUAAAGGGCUCGUAGGCGGUUUGUCGCGUCGGGAGUGAAAACACUGGGCUUAACUCAGUGCUUGCUUCCGAUACGGGCAGACUAGAGGUAUUCAGGGGAGAACGGAAUUCCUGGUGUAGCGGUGAAAUGCGCAGAUAUCAGGAGGAACACCGGUGGCGAAGGCGGUUCUCUGGGAAUUACCUGACGCUGAGGAGCGAAAGUGUGGGGAGCGAACAGGAUUAGAUACCCCGGUAGUCC